UUUAUGGAGAGUUUGAUCCUGGCUCAGGAUGAACGCUGGCGGCGUGCCUAAUACAUGCAAGUCGAGCGAACGGACGAGAAGCUUGCUUCUCUGAUGUUAGCGGCGGACGGGUGAGUAACACGUGGAUAACCUACCUAUAAGACUGGGAUAACU
rnacentral:rRNA from 1 species